GACGAACGCUGGCGGCGUGCUUAACACAUGCAAGUCGAACGGAAAGGCCCUGCUCUUGUGGGGUUCUCGAUUGGCGAACGGGGGAGUAACACGUGAGUAACCUCCCCUUGUCUUUGUGAUAACUUCAGGAAACUGGGGCUAAUACCGGAUAGGAGCUCCUGCUGCACGUGGGGGGUUGGAAAGUUUCGGCGGUUGGGGAUGGACUCGCGGCUUAUCAGCUUGUUUGUGAGGUAGUGGCUUACCAAGGCUUUGACGGGUAGGCGGCCUGGGAGGGUUGCCGGCCACAUUGGGACUGAGAUACGGCCCAGACUCCUACGGGAGGCAGCAGGGGGGAGUAUUGCACAAUGGGCGGAAGCCUGAUGCAGCAACGCCGCGUGCGGGAUGAUGGCCUUCGGGUUGUAAACCGCUUUCGCCUGUGACGAAGCGUGAGUGACGGUAAUGGGUAAAGAAGCACCGGCUAACUACGUG
rnacentral:rRNA from 1 species